GCAUCAUUAGCUCAAUGGAUAGAGCACUAGUUUUCUAAACUAAUUAUAUGGGUUCGAUUCCCAUAUGAUGCU
rnacentral:tRNA from 1 species